AACAUUGCUCCUAUUAUUGCAAAUGCAAUGUACUUUGAGAUCUGACAUGGGGAACUUGGAGCUGGCUGUCGGGGUAUGCAGGAGAAAAAGGUGGAAGAAAUGGUUCUCUUGCUGUUCACUAGUGUUUGGAGAGAAUGGGAGGUUCCUUCUCAAAAUCUAAACCAGUUACACCAGAACCCAUUUCCACUACUGUCACAGUACAUACCACUGUACAGACUUCUACUGCUGCCUUACCAGACUCAGAAGACAAAUCCUUGUUUGAUAACCCUGAAAUAUUCUACUUAGCAUUAGCCUUUAUCUCUGGCAUCCUGUCAACUCUUCUGGUGGUUGCAAUCGUCUUCCUCAUCAGAAAAAGGUAUAAGAGAUCCCACGAAAAUCUACAAGAACAAGUUCCCUCCAAGGUACAGCGUGAGGAAUCUGCUGAAAACACCCAGAAUGAGGUUUCUUAUGCCUCUGUGGUCAUCAAGCCCCGACCGAAAGCAGCACCUGUGUGACAAUGGAAUUCAACACAUGAACACCUGCACUUUCUGCAUGUUGGAUGCCAUGGGAUUGUUGCACGGAGGACUGCAGUGCUCUGUGAGAUAUCCAGGCUGCAGUACAUAACAUCAGCUGAAUUCAUAGCGAGGAGGGGAAAACAGCAUCUCCAGCUCUACAACUCUUGCCAACACUGGGGACAAGUUGCUUUCUACACCACCUUCCCUCAUCUAGAACGAUCCUGGUGACAACCUAUUGCACAGUUUCCGUGUGGUUUCCGCUAUUGCUGGGAACUGCCGAGGAGAACUGAAAAACAGAAGUGUUUAUCUGCACCUGUCCACAUCUGUGCCCUUUAUUUCCCUGUUCAGUCACUGGCUGCAGCAUUUUUGAUAAGGGUGCCCAGUGCUUUGGUUAAACCACUGAACUUUAUUAUGAUGCACCACUGCGGGGCAGCACCGAGCGGCCGCUGGAAACACCCGAACAAAGUUUGAUCUGCGUUAUUCUAAGGUGUAAUGUUUUGUGUUUUCUGUUUGUUUGUUUGUUUUCUCUGCUGAAAGCAGUCGGUUCCAUCUACUGGCAGCGAUCGCAUCGCCAGGUUGUGAUGUACUCGUGCAGUGACUUCCUUUGCCAGCUGCUUUGUUAAGGGUGGGACCAUGUAACGGGGUGGGUUUGGGCAGCAGCAAAGAUUACAUCAGAUUCUGAACUAAGAUCUCUGAUCUUUGUUAAAGGAGCAUGCACUGGUGUCUAUGUAGCUUACUGAGCUACUUAACAGAAUGAUGCACUCCCCUUUGGUUUUUUUCCUAUACCACUUUUACUGUGCAAAGGCGGAGAAAAAAGAGCCUUGCCUUUAAUUGCCUGUGUUCAGUUUAACCUAUGUUCCCUGAAACUAAGCUGUGCAAGCUGUGCUAUAGCAUCUACUGCAGUUUCUGAGCUGUUGGGACACCUGCUAAAACAGAGCAAGGAUUUCAUGCAACAUGUUGACUUUGCAUAAAAUCCACUUAAUAUUUAUUAUCCUUAAUG
rnacentral:lncRNA from 1 species